rfam:Oryza brachyantha chromosome 7, whole genome shotgun sequence.
UUGAGGAUGACGAAGAAAAUCAGAUGGAUACCCAUUGAUUUCUAAUCGAAAUGUGAUCUUUAAUCAGCUACUUCUGACUCAA